AUUGAACGCUGGCGGCAUGCUUUACACAUGCAAGUCGAGCGGCAGCGCGGGGGCAACCCUGGCGGCGAGCGGCGAACGGGUGAGGAAUACAUCGGAACGUACCCCGGAGUGGGGGAUAACGCCGCGAAAGCGGCGCUAAUACCGCAUAUGCUCUGAGGAGGAAAGUGGGGGACCGCAAGGCCUCACGCUCUGGGAGCGGCCGAUGUCGGAUUAGCUAGUUGGUGGGGUAAUGGCUUACCAAGGCGACGAUCCGUAGCUGGUCUGAGAGGAUGAUCAGCCACACUGGGACUGAGACACGGCCCAGACUCCUACGGGAGGCAGCAGUGGGGAAUUUUGGACAAUGGGCGCAAGCCUGAUCCAGCCAUGCCGCGUGCGGGAAGAAGGCCUUCGGGUUGUAAACCGCUUUUGUCAGGGAAGAAAUCCUCUGGGUUAAUACCUCGGGGGGAUGACGGUACCUGAAGAAUAAGCACCGGCUAACUACGUGCCAGCAGCCGCGGUAAUACGUAGGGUGCGAGCGUUAAUCGGAAUUACUGGGCGUAAAGCGUGCGCAGGCGGUCUUGCAAGACAGGUGUGAAAUCCCCGGGCUUAACCUGGGAACUGCACUUGUGACUGCAAGGCUGGAGUACGGCAGA
rnacentral:rRNA from 1 species